AUUGAACGCUGGCGGCAGGCCUAACACAUGCAAGUCGAACGGAGUGGCGGACGGGUGAGUAAUGUCUGGGAAUCUGCCUGGUAGUGGGGGAUAACGUCCGACAACGGGCGCUAAUACCGCAUACUAUCAGAUGAGCCUUGGUCGGAUUAGCUAGUUGGUGGGGGAAAGGCCUACCAAGGCGACGCUCCGGAACUGGUCUGAGAGGAUGAUCGGUCAAACGGGAACGGAGACAAGGUCCAGACGCCGACGGGAGGCAGCAGUGGGGAAUAUUGGACAAUGGGCGAAAGCCUGAUCCAGCCAUGCCGGGGGUGUGAAGAAGGUCUUCGGAUUGUAAAGCACGUUAAGUUGGGAGGCGUUACCAACAGAAUAAGCACCGGCUAACUUCGUGCCAGCAGCCGCGGUAAUAC
rnacentral:rRNA from 1 species